rnacentral:lncRNA from 1 species
AGAUAUUGAAAGAAGUAUUAAUUCAAAUACUGAAAAAGAAGAUAGAAGUAAUGGCCUUAGAAGAAGUAAUAGAGAAAGAAUUCUGAAGAAACUUUUAUCCUAUUAGGAAUUAUGUGACAUAUGCAUGUACCUCUGAAAAAUACAAAAGAAUUCUCUCAAAAACUGUUGAAGAAUCUAUUCCCAAUGAUGAAAAGGAGGC